rnacentral:rRNA from 1 species
UGGGGAAUAUUGCACAAUGGGCGCAAGCCUGAUGCAGCCAUGCCGCGUGUGUGAAGAAGGCCUUCGGGUUGUAAAGCACUUUCAGCGAGGAGGAAGGUGGUGAGCUUAAUACGCUCAUCAAUUGACGUUACUCGCAGAAGAAGCACCGGCUAACUCCGUGCCAGCAGCCGCGGUAAUACGGAGGGUGCAAGCGUUAAUCGGAAUUACUGGGCGUAAAGCGCACGCAGGCGGUUUGUUAAGUCAGAUGUGAAAUCCCCGGGCUCAACCUGGGAACUGCAUUUGAAACUGGCAAGCUAGAGUCUCGUAGAGGGGGGUAGAAUUCCAGGUGUAGCGGUGAAAUGCGUAGAGAUCUGGAGGAAUACCGGUGGCGAAGGCGGCCCCCUGGACGAAGACUGACGCUCAGGUGCGAAAGCGUGGGGCAGCAAACAGGAUUAGAUACCCUGGUAGUCCACGCUGUAAACGAUGUCGAUUUGGAGGUUGUGCCCUUGAGGCGUGGCUUCCGGAGCUAACG